UGAGCAUAAUAGGUGUGAGAACAGCAGAGCACCUACAAAUUAUUCUGCUUUGAAGGAAUGGCAGAUUUUGCUACUAAGCAGCCCAUGCUGCAAAUGGCCUUCAUGCCAGGACCCAUUGUGUUCUGAUGAAUCUGAGACACAAAUCCAAACUUCCCAGCUGCUUCCUAUAUGCAGCAGGAUCCCAAACUCAGCCCCCACAAUGAAAUGUUGCGUUUGAUGAAGUUCAGACUUGAGUUCUGAACUGAGCAGCUCUUUGCAGUUGGAUCUUUUAUCUGCUGAGUACACGGAGGGGGAAAAGAGAGCAGCGCAUCUGGCAGUGCACUGAAAGCAGACCUUAUCUAAUAGCAUACAGCCUUGUGAUUCACGUGUGUGCAGAAUGCAACCCAGUGUGCCUGAAAUGUGGGGGGAAUCCGAACUCUGCUGAAAGUAGUGGGAGCUUCUCCAUUGACAUCAGCUCCAUAAUAAGGCUCUGAUCUUGCAUCUCUGACCGCAACAGCAGAAGACAGCAGAGGUCAAGGACAUCGCUCAUGCUUACAGCAGAAGCCCAACUAAUAGGCACAACAGGAUGUAAGAUGAUGCCUAACUGAGGUGGAGGGAAACAGGACCAGCUCCACCCCCCCAUUAAAUCUGGAUAUAAGUAACGUCAAGGAGUUGCUACAUCUCAAAAGUUCUUCCUAGCAAAUAAUAACGAGCUUUGCAAUUGAGAUUCAAGACUUUGCAUUGGAUGACAAACAGCCAUUUUGGCUAUUUAGCAGCGUCUUCAAAUGCAGUAUUUAAAUGUGAUUUCAUUUCUGUCUCUCUUUAACGUGACUUCAGGCAAUGUUUUUUUAAACUAUAGUGUAAUACAUGAAAUACAAUAACUAUUUCCAGUAAAGACUUAAGUGUUUUUAUGUUAUGCAGUUCUGUAAUUAACAUUGUUGUCCUGUAUGCUGUAGGUACCCACAGCUUUUUUCCCGUCUGCUGGCAAAUUAUAGCAUGGUGCUUGCUCUGAAAAGUUAUAUGACUGGGAUUAUAUAUUUACAGUUCCCCAAGCUGUACACCGUGUGAUUAAUAGAAUUAUUUACUUAUUUAUUAUGAUGAAAUGCACUGCAAUAUGUUUGCAAGACGGACCAGAUCCAAAACCCACUGAAGACGCCCAUGAGCCCUGAGGAAUCACAUUGCCUUGCAGCCACUGUACAGCCAUGAAAACCAGCUGAAAACAAAACCGAGCCUCUUCGGAGAAAGCCCCACAAGUGACCUCUUCAGCAAAGUGGACAAAGAUUUACAUUGGCUUCUCUUCUCCCCGGCUAUCACUUACACUACAUGCACACUGUUGUUCCUCCUGCCUGUGCCAUUGUACUUCCCUUCUAACCUGUUUUCAACCUGCAAAGGCUUUUGCAAGGAAGUCAGCACACAGCAAUGGUGUGAGCUUACAGCACGUUGGCUGCUUUGUGCUAAUUUCCCAUUAGUGCACAUAGGCGGUAGUUUCGAAGAUAGGUGCGGUGCCUUGUAUGUCAGUGGGUGUUCUAAGGUCUGCAGCUGGGCAGAUGGAUCAGUACUGCCUGACAUAUCAGCUUAUAGUGCAAGGAGACCGUUACUUCAGAUGAAUUUGCUAUGGAACCGUAAAAAGCCUCUGUUAUGAAUAGUCUUCUACAGACAGGAUGAUGUAACAUCCAGUAUAAGGCACCAUAACUGUGUUGUUUACAUUUUUGGUGUGCUGUCCCAUAUAUAAAUCCCCAGUGCUCCAAAAAACAAUGCAUUAAAAGUUAAGGAUGAAUCCAAUCAAUAACCUACUGCGUUAUUCAUGGGUUCAGCAAUGCAGAGUUAAUCCUUUGGGACAAUGACAUUAGGACAUUUGAACAAAACGUACAGCACCCUGCCUAACACCCAGUCUGCACGGAGGAUAAAACCCACUGCUAUAACCUUCAUCCUCUUCCUCCAGGGAUAGAGACGUUCCUGCUCAGCACUGGAACUUCUGGAGAUGAUAAACACAAGCAACUCAUCCCCAGCUCCAUCCUGAGCACCUUCAGCAUUGCCACUCAGCACCUCAAAAUUGUGUGCGUCCAAUGCCAACUGUCCACCAUGGCAAAGGAACAAGACAUUUGCUCCAAGGGACUGCUGCUCCAUGACGAGCUCGAGAAAGAGACCGUCUGAUGGUCCCUGUGUUGCUGAGGGCUCAGCUGUCCCCCUGCCCUCCUGGACCCAUCCCGAUAGCUGUGCUCCAGAGACUGAGAACAGGGCUGGGACAGAACAGCGAGGCCCAGGCUUGGUUAUUUGACCUGUACUAUGUGAUUUUAGCCCAGAAUGGAGCUGAGAUACAGAGCCGGCCCCCAGGAGGCAGAGCUAGGAUGAAGCAGCAAAGGUGCUGAUGGACUCAGGGCUCCCAUGUGCCCCUAGAGAUGCGGCUGAGGAAUCCCAGGAUACCCAACCUGAUCCCUGCAGCAGUGCCACCUUUUUUUUUAACAAUCUCCCUUAACAGCAGAAAUUCAACCAUCGUUGGCUCUUGUCAUGCUAAUAUUUCAUCUUUCCAGUUUCAGUGUUAAUAAAGAAGGUGAAUCUUUCACACCAGUGGUUGCAGAUGUCAUGCACUUGCCUCCUGCUAUUUGGAUCCACUGUGCUGCAGAGAGUGAACCAGGCAAACCCACCUGUAGAGGAGGGAAGGGAAAGUGAAGUCCCGAGCACCAAGUAGAGUCUUGCUGGAGACCACCGAGGAGACACAGCAUCAGCAAUUGCUGACAAAGCCCAUUGCACCAUCAGAACCAAGCCAAGGAUGAAAGAACGUGACACCAAUCUGUAUUUCCAGCAACCUUUGUUGGAAAGGUGGUCUGCACUCAUGAAUACUGUUGUUAUACCUACAGCCCCCAAAGAGCAACCUACUUGAGCUGUGACAGAGCUGCUCAUAUAACCAAGGGUAUAUGGUUAUGUAGCCUGUCUGGGGAUGUAAGCACAUUUACCUGUAGACUAAAGGAGAUGACCAAAUCCUUGUAAAUGAGCACAAAACAUCGCGAUGCCUAUGCCUUCAAACACCAAAGGAUGAGCAUGAACAGUGUCUCUAGAGCCACUCCAGA
ensembl:lncRNA